CUCACCCCUCCCUUGCCCUCACUGUCUCCUCCCGUGUGCGAUCAACUGGAGGGAGGUGCUCAGCUGGGAACAAGGAGAGAGUCACCAGCUCUGAAGGGAGAGGACGCACACACACAAUAAGAGAGACACGGGAGUCUGAUCAGCGCUGGAACGGGUCGUCCUGUGCUGUAGGUUACUCUGCAGACCCGUUCCUGGAGGGAAACAAGAGGGGCUGGACGCAGGAGACGGACGCAGGAAUUCCAGGUCACAAGGGCUCCUGUCUUGGCUGGGUUGGGCUGGUUAUUCCCACCUCUCCCUCUCACGGUCAUGAGUGUGACAGAUGUGGAGUAGGACCAGGGAGGGACUAAUCACUUACGAACUCAGAGGCUAGUCUUUAACUUCAAGGGUCUGACCUGACCCCCUUCAGGAUGGGAUCCUCUGUGGAGUUUGCUUGUUUGCUGUUGGUGGUCUCCACUCUGGGAAAGAACCACUUGGUGUCCGGGGGUUGUUCAGGGAAAUGCUGCCGAGGCAGAGACUUGAGCUGUCUGACCACCGACUGGAGGAUGGACCGUGUGUACGGGACGUGCUACUGCGACGAGGGCUGUGCGAGGACCAACGACUGCUGCUUCGACUACUUCACAGAAUGCCCAGCUCAGGACUGCACUGUGAGCGACUGGAGCUUUUGGAGCGGCUGUGCCAAGUCGUGUCAGGCUUCAGUGCGGGUCCGUGUUCGUCACGUAGAGCAGCAGCCCAGUAACAGCGGAGAGCCCUGUCCUAGUCUGGAGCAACGAAGCGGCUGCAGGGAGUACAGAGACCAGAAGGGUGGCCACUGUGGACUAAACUCAGGUCCUGCAUUCAUCACCAGCAUGGAGUUUGGCAAGGGAAGGCCGAAGCAUGACAACUACGGAAACCCCCUGGACCCCGGGUUCUGUGUGGAAUUCACGCUGGAGUCCCGGACACCCCACUGUACAGUGGAGAACCGGCCACACACACACUGGACGCGCUACAUAACAGAAGGAUUUAAAGUGUGUGUGGCAUGUGAACCUCCUGCCAUGCGCAACAAUAGUGGCAGCUGCCAAGGAGACGGUCUGGAAUCAGACAAAGAAGCUUUGCUCCACUGGCAGGCGGUGGGGAACCAUCAGUGCAGCGGGACCUGGAAGAAGAUCCAGCAAACCCAGCAGUGCAACUGUCCGCCACAACACAGCUUCGUCUUCAUCUGAUCUAAACGAAGCGCCGCGCAACACUCUCUGAUCUGGAGUCCACGAUAACACCUCACAGCCGAGCGCCGCUCACCAGCGAGACUGAAACACUGUGUUCAGAACUCUCCAGCGGUCUUUGAGCAUGGUGCCAGUGCGGCCGUCAAAGUCAAAAUCCAAUAAUAUGCGAGACCAAUUCCCCUGGCCGUGACGUCGAACGCCAAUCUUGAGGUACCUGUCCAGCUCGUAUGUCCAUUUCUAAACAAAGUAAAACAUAAGGGAUGCAAUUUUCAGAAAUCCGAGCCAAAGUUAGCAUUUGAGCUUCAUAUAUUCACUUGAUUUGGGAUUAAUAUACUGGUCAUGAAUGAGCGGUGUGCUUCAAUUUACCUGAGGUGGUUUUCUUGUUUUUUCGAUCUUCGAGGUGUCCGUUGACUUCGUGGAUGUCAACUCAGAUAACUCUGAUGGUGGGAGGUUUAACUUUAUCAUUAGUUCUUUAUUUUAUAGAAAAGUAUUGAUACAUCAGAUCAAAUCAAAAUACAAUGUUUUUAAAAGAAAAAACAGAAAAGAUAAAAACCUACCGCUGCGGGAGAUUCUUCUGAGAGAGACAAACGACUUCUUGCAUGAAUCAGUUUGCCAUAUGUCCGAAAUCUUCGUUGACAGCAGUUUCCGUUUUGUUCUGUGGAAGUGUCAUACAGAGAGACAUAUACAUAUUGGUAACCCCACAGCUUGCUGAAUGUCUGCUUUUACCCAAACACCAAUUCCUACUAACCUCAAACAAACAGCCUUCUUCUUCUUUUCCCUGUUAAGACACAAAUGUACAGAAUAUUGUUCAAUACAGAACAGAAAUGGACCAUGUGCACAUUUCAAUAAAUAAACCUGAGGGUGUUACAAAAGUAUUUCCUACUUUCUGUUCUCUGUUGAUUUGUUGGCUUCUUCUGACAGAGAGCUGUCCUGUGUCAUCACGUCCUCCAAACCCUCAGUGUUUUCUGACGACUGCACCAUCUUUGUGGCUUCCUGAUAGAAGAAGAGGCAGACAAAAACACACACUAACAUAUUAGUUACUAAAUAUUAUUUGAUCUUCAAGAUCACGGGGUAUAUCAAUCACUCACGGGGUGAGUGAUUGAUAUACAAAUGGUCAUUUAGUGGAUGAAGUAUUCCUUUAAGUACUGCUAUAAUGUGAAA